GGCUGGGUAGCUCAGUCUGGUAGAGCAGCGGACUGAAAAUCCGUGUGUCGGCGGUUCAAAUCCGCCCCCAGCCA
rnacentral:tRNA from 1 species